rnacentral:rRNA from 1 species
UACGAAGGGGGCUAGCGUUGCUCGGAAUCACUGGGCGUAAAGGGUGCGUAGGCGGGUCUUUAAGUCAGGGGUGAAAUCCUGGAGCUCAACUCCAGAACUGCCUUUGAUACUGAAGAUCUUGAGUUCGGGAGAGGUGAGUGGAACUGCGAGUGUAGAGGUGAAAUUCGUAGAUAUUAGGAAGAACACCAGUGGCGAAGGCGGCUCACUGGCCCGGUACUGACGCUGAGGUGCGAAAGCGUGGGGAGCAAACAGG